UGCGCAGGCGGAAUGGUAAGUCAGUGGUGAAAUCCUACAGCUUAACUGUAGAACUGCCAUUGAUACUGCCAUUCUUGAGUACAUAUGAAGUGGGCGGAAUGUGUCAUGUAGCGGUGAAAUGCAUAGAUAUGACACAGAACACCGAUAGCGAAGGCAGCUCACUAAAUUGUAACUGACGCUCAUGCACGAAAGCGUGGGGAGCAAACAGGAUUAGAUACCCUGGUAGUCC
rnacentral:rRNA from 1 species